GGAGAGUGGUGGCUGCUGACCGAGUGGUGGGAUGUAAACUACUCCAGACACAAAGAAGCAGGGCAUGAUCAAAUAAGUUUGAGAACCACUGGACUAAGCCACAGUGCCUCUCUUCUAGUCCCUGAAGUUAUGCCAUCUGAAAAACAUGGAAAGAAAAGGAGAGAGAGACUGAAGAAAAGGGGAGCUGGAAAUACAGAGAAAGCAAGAGAAGAUAUACCAUAUUAUAUCAAAUGGAAAAAGGGAGCGAAGCGAGCAGGAAAAAGAAGGUAAAAUAAGAACAAGAAAGAUGCAAGUUUAAUUAUAAAAUAUAUGUAUUAAAUAAAGAAUUGACAACAUAUUACAAUUAAA